rnacentral:lncRNA from 1 species
AAUGCAUCAGGGGCUCCCAGACAAGGUCCACUGUUCUACCUUAGUGUGCCAGUUGCUUUCUUUUUCCUUCUCACUAGUGAUCUGGGAUCUGCCUCCGGUCAAGAAUCCCAGACCCUUUGCUACACUGAAGCUGGAGGACAAGUGUGCCUCUCCGGCCUGGGAAGGAGAAAAAGAAGAGCAAGAAGCAAUUGACCCAUUGCUGAAGUACAAACUGAAACGGACAGACGUAAUGAACAGGCAGUGAGGACAUUCCGAAAGUGGAACAAAAGGUAACAAACUCCACCAACCAUGUUCUUCAGAAGAGGUCAGAAUUGAUCGCCAGGAUCCGAAAUUUUGGGGUAACAACCUUCAAAGUCCACUGGAAUCAGAUGACUCCAUGGCUAAACUUUUGGCGUGCAGGCAUGAGACCUGGUGCUGGGGUUCUUUUUCCCACCCUUCUCCAUCCCUCUUCUUUGUGCCCCCAUCUACUCCCAAGCACUAGAUAGGAGAGGAGAGGAAAGAGAUCCCUUAAUAAAGUCUGGUCAGAAAGUGGCAACAGU